UACGAAGGGUGCAAGCGUUACUCGGAAUUACUGGGCGUAAAGCGUGCGUAGGUGGUUCGUUAAGUCUGUCGUGAAAGCCCCGGGCUCAACCUGGGAAUGGCGAUGGAUACUGGCGGGCUAGAGUGCGGUAGAGGAGAGUGGAAUUCCCGGUGUAGCAGUGAAAUGCGUAGAGAUCGGGAGGGACAUCAGUUGCGAAGGCGGCUCUCUGGACCAGCACUGACACUGAGGCACGAAAGCCAGGGGGAGCAAACAGG
rnacentral:rRNA from 1 species